rnacentral:rRNA from 1 species
GACGUAGGGCGCAAGCGUUGUCCGGAUUUAUUGGGCGUAAAGAGCUCGUAGGCGGCUCGUUGCGUCGGCUGUGAAAACCCGCAGCUCAACUGUGGGCUUGCAGCCGAUACGGGCGGGCUGGAGUUCGGUAGGGGAGACUGGAAUUCCUGGUGUAGCGGUGAAAUGCGCAGAUAUCAGGAGGAACACCGGUGGCGAAGGCAGUUCUCUGGGACGGUACUGACGCUGAGACGCGAAAGCGUGGGGAGCGAACAGG